UCUACUUCACAACACACAAAGGAGCUGGAGAAACUCAAUGGGCCAGGGAGCAUGUAUGGUGGGAAUGGAUAGUCGAUGUUUUGGGUCGAGACCCUUCAUCAGCCAGCACCUGCAGAAGUGCGCAUUCUUUGUGAUUGGCUGAGAAUCCUGAGGUAUGGGUGGCAUUUUACCCUGCACACCCAAAGGUUUCUUCAGCUUCAGGUAGGAAGGUCCACGAGUUGGAAGCUGUGACAAUGAAGGGAUGCUGAUGCACGACCAGGGCAGGAGCACUACAAUAACUG